rnacentral:rRNA from 1 species
AACGGCCGCGGUACCCUGACCGUGCAAAGGUAGCAUAAUAACUCGCCUCCUAAUUAGAGGCUGGAAUCAACGAACACACGUGAGCCCUGCUGUCUCUAUAGAACCUAAAUAACUUAACCUCCAAGUGAAAAGGCUUGAAUCUCCCUAAUAGACAAGAAGACCCUAUCGAGCUUUAUUAAUAACUAGCAAAACAAGCAAUUUUUAUUUACCUGUCUAACCUAGUAACUAAUUUAGUUGGGGCAACUAAGGAACACCUAAAGCUUCCUUUAUAAUCUAAACCUACUCUAGACCCAAAAUUUUUGAUCAAAGGAACAAGCUACCGUAGGGAUAACAGGUUAAUUUUUUUCGAGAGUCCACAUUGACAAAAAAGUUUGACACCUCGAUGUUGGCUUAGGUUACCCCGCUAGUGCAGAAGCUAGCAAUGGUGGGUUUGUUCAACCCAUAAAAACCUACGUGAUCUG